rnacentral:lncRNA from 1 species
GAGUUUGACCUUCUUCCCAACAUUUUCUGAUGUUUUCUCAGAGGAUGAAAAGGUUCAUUUCUCAGCCAGAGGACAUUAUGUUCUCAUUGGUGUUGGUGUUGUCCUUGGCAUCAUCAUCAUCAUCAUCAUCAUAAUCGGUAUCUGGAAACAUAAACAGAUCCAGCAUUUCUGGAAGCAGCUCAGAGGAAGAGAGGACCAAAGAGCAGAGCCAGUGGAAGAAGAACAUGAAAUGAAGACGCUGAACGGGGAAGCACCUGAGCUGGAGUGAACCUGGAGAGUCCUGCAGGAAACACCCUGGGAGGAGUCGAGGUGGAGGAGUGAGAAUAAAACCAGAUGUUAGAGAUGCCAAAGACUUUACUGGACCAAAAAAAAAAAAAAAAAAAAAGCUGGACUGUAUUUUAAUGAACCGAUGACAUCAGGUCUUUGUCAGGUGGAUUUCAUCAAGAAUUUUAUGAAGGAUAAAUGUAUUUAUGUAAUUAUUUUGUAUUUAUUUAUUGCACUUUCAGCCUGUUAAACAGUUUUCAGACUCAUAAGACCCAGAACCAGACUCUUCUAUUUCUCCACUGCAGCUUGUACGUCUUUUAACUGAGACGAGCAAAUAUCAGCACAUUUCCCUGGUUUUAUUCUCACUCCACUGGCUGGUUGGAUCUGUGUCAGGAAGCCACCUGCAGGACCUGAAGGGGUCAUGACAUUUGGGGUCUUUUCAAGAUGAGUCCACCUAUUUCUCCAGUUGGUUCUUGUCUUCUUGAGAAUUAGCAACUCUUACAACCUAAAAGAAAUUUGCACAAGACAAAUGUAGUGUGAGGCUGAAGCAUUAUCAGGAAACACUACAAGUCACAACAUGAAGCUCGACUGGAACCAAAGAGAAAAAUCUGUUCAGGUGUUGAAUUUGACUGUAGCUUUGAAACAUUUGUGGUGUAAUGUUGAGACUCAUGUUGUUUAACUGUCAUGACUUUAACACCAGAUUCCAAGACCAAGUGUUGAAACUGAUUUGAAUAUUCAGCUUCUGUUCCUUAAAGCACUUUCAAUUUGUUUCCAGCUGCUUCAUCUAUUUAUUUUCACCUUGUUUUCUGAAACAAAUUUUAUUUAACUUUGGGUUUUUCUUCUUUCUCUUCUUUCUGUUGUUCAAUGUGCUUUGUUAUAUACAAUAAACUCUGUUGUCCCUUCAUGUCCCAGUCUGUCAUUAUUUUGAUGAUCUCAGUAUUUAGUUAUUUAAUAACUGCUUCAGCUAAAUGACAGUAAAACACACAACUGCAACUUUAUUUGUUGAGCCCUUUUAAAAACACAAAACAGGUCAAAUCUAAAUAUCAACAUCUCAGACUGUCAAAGGUCACUGAGGACAGGGGAGUUUCAUGAAGACAUUUAAAAAUAGAUCAGGAGGAGGCCUGUCUAAUGUGAAGGGCAGCUCAUUCCACAGUCCUGGUG